rnacentral:rRNA from 1 species
AACGAACGCUGGCGGCAUGCCUAACACAUGCAAGUCGAACGAAGUCUUCGGACUUAGUGGCGCACGGGUGCGUAACGCGUGGGAAUCUGCCCUUGGGUGCGGAAUAACUUCUCGAAAGGGAUGCUAAUACCGCAUAAUGUCGUAAGACCAAAGAUUUAUCGCCCAAGGAUGAGCCCGCGUAAGAUUAGCUAGUUGGUGGGGUAAAAGCCUACCAAGGCGACGAUCUUUAGCUGGUCUGAGGGGAUGAUCAGCCACACUGGGACUGAGACACGGCCCAGACUCCUACGGGAGGCAGCAGUGGGGAAUAUUGGACAAUGGGCGAAAGCCUGAUCCAGCAAUGCCGCGUGAGUGAUGAAGGCCCUAGGGUUGUAAAGCUCUUUUACCAGGGAUGAUAAUGACAGUACCUGGAGAAUAAGCUCCGGCUAACUCCGUGCCAGCAGCCGCGGU